rnacentral:lncRNA from 1 species
CCUGGCUGUGUAUCACAUCCUUCUGGUUAGGGGCAUUGCUGCAGGAAUCUGUUUAUUCUCAAUUCAAGCCAAUAUGUACUGAUUGCUCUGACCUCCUCUCGUAAACAGGCAUUCUACUGGAACGUGUAAGAUAAUUUUUGCCAUCUGUCAUUUUCUUCUUCUUGAGAAAGGAGGAGAAUUACUGAGAAACAAGAAAAUGUCUCUUUUACCCAUUUCCAGUGAGAGAACUUUACUACGAAAGAGAAAAAAUUAGUUUGGACACAGCAAUAACCUUAGCAAUUAUUCAUACAGAAAGGAUUGGCACCAUGAUUUCUUAGAAGUUCCAAUGGAGUCCCAGUAUGAUAAGGUUGUUCUUUCAGAAAUGGGGGACUGGCGUCAAGUACCUGCAGGCAAGUGACUGUUUUGCUUCAAUUUUCUGUCUCUGUAAACUUGUCUUUGAUCAGUUAUAUUGGAAGAAGUGAGGUAGU